CCAUCAAAGACACCACAAAAAGUCACAUCUUCUGAUAAGAAAUCUUCCCAUACGAUCAUCGCAUCCUGGUUUAUGCCCUUGCGACCCUGCUGUGUGAAUAUACAAGAAGUUCGGCUCUUUCCAUUAGUGAAAAUCCUGUUAGGUAUAGAGGGUAAAUGCUGCAGUGUAACUACGUGGUCGGAGAAUGUUCUUUUAGUUUUCUUUUGCCCGCAAAAUCCAAUCCCCAAGCAUGGGGGGGGAACAGUAUCUGCAUUGCUCCUCCUACUACUACAAGUACUUUGGCUACUAG
rnacentral:misc_RNA from 1 species